UACGGGGGGGGCAAGUGUUGUUCGGAAUUACUGGGCGUAAAGGGCUUGUAGGUGGCCAACUAAGUCAGACGUGAAAUCCCUCAGCUUAACUGGGGAACUGCGUCUGAUACUGGAUGGCUUGAGUUUGGGAGAGGGACGCGGAAUUCCAGGUGUAGCGGUGAAAUGCGUAGAUAUCAGGAGGAACACCGGUGGUGUAAACGGCUUUCUGGACCAUAACUGACGCUGAAGCACGAAAGCGUGGGUAGCAAACAGG
rnacentral:rRNA from 1 species